rfam:Pseudallescheria apiosperma strain IHEM 14462 SEQ_SAPIO_0121, whole genome shotgun sequence.
UUCUCUAUGGCCAAAUGGUUAAGGCGUCCGACUGUUAUCCACUCUCGUGGCGGAAAAUCGGAAGAUUCCAAGUUCGACCCUUGGUAGGGAAG